CACGUAGUUAGCCGUGACUUUCUCACAGGGUACCGUCACUGUCUUCUUCCCCUGCGACAACAGUUUACAAUCCGAAGACCUUCUUCCUGCACGCGGCGUUGCUGCGUCAGGGUUGCCCCCAUUGCGCAAUAUUCCCCACUGCUGCCUCCCGUAGGAGUCUGGGCCGUGUCUCAGUCCCAAUGCGGCCGGUCAACCUCUCAGUUCGGCUACAGAUCGUCGCCUUGGUGAGCCGUUACCUCACCAACCAGCUAAUCUGACGCGAGUCCAUCCAUAAGCGAUAAAUCUUUCAAAUUCUAUGAUGCCAUAAAAUUUCAAUAUGCGGUAUUAGUCCUCGUUUCCAAGGAUUAUCCCCCUCUUAUGGGCAGGUUACUCACGCGUUACUCGCCCGUCCGCCACUUUCCACCCAACAGUUCACCCGAAGGGAUCACAAUGGGUUCUCGUUCGACUUGCAUGUGUUAGGCACGCCGCCAGCCGUUCGUCCUGUACGCCGAGGACGUCAAAACUCU
rnacentral:rRNA from 1 species